rnacentral:rRNA from 1 species
UACAGAGACUGCGAGCGUUAUUCGGAUUCACUGGGCGUAAAGCGUGCGCAGGCGGUUUUGUAAGCCAGAUGUGAAAUCCCCGGGCUUAACCUGGGAAUGGCAUUUGGGACUGCAAGGCUUGAGUGCGGCAGAGGAGACUGGAAUUCCUGGUGUAGCAGUGAAAUGCGUAGAUAUCAGGAGGAACACCGAUGGCGAAGGCAGGUCUCUGGGCUGACACUGACGCUCAUGCACGAAAGCGUGGGGAGCAAACAGG